GUCCCCUUCCUCGGUGUGCUGAACCCUUCCUUGGUGUGCUGAACCCUUCCUGGAGCGGAGAAAGACCAGGAAACAGAAAAUGGUUUGGAGGUCUGACCAGCCUUGCCGCUUCUACAUGAUUGAUGGAUCUUGCAAGUAUGGUUCAGACUGUUGGUUCUCUCAUGGACUUGACUCAUUUGGGAGGAUAGAGAUCCAAAUCAGGGUACUUCUGCAUUUGAUGCAUCGUUUUCCUGUCCCAGUAGUGGAUUUGCCACGGAAUUGCUCUGAGUUGCACAUAAAGCUUCUGCAAGACGGACAGGAUGGGAAUCCUGAUCACCUGCUGAGUUUGCUCUGGCGUCUUCAUACGAUUUAUUUGUUUCAUGACAGCAUUCAAUGGUAUGUAAUCCUGUUGGAGGUUGCCCCACCAGCCUACAAUCCAAAUGUGAUGGAUUUCAAUAGUGAAACUCGGAUUUAUAUCACCUUCUCUGCUCAAAGUAGAGAAAUAUGCACUGAAUCAAAGGUUCGUUCGCAUUUCAGCCAUUUCGGGCCUGUCGUGUCUGUGACUAUUCCGCAUGGAAGGUCAUAUGGUUUUGUGAGAUUCUUGCUCCCUGGGACAGUGAGGCCGCUUUUAUCAAACUGGAAUCCUGAGGUCCCUCACUUCAUCUCCGGAGCAAGACUUCACGUGGACCGCUAUAUCCCCUAUUAUCUGUGGAACCCUGCUGAGAAUCAUGGACCGAAUGGCCUGGAUGGAGGGCCAUGACAUGUGCCAAAUGCCCUGGGUGGAGUGCCAGGACAAGAACCAGGUGCGCCAGAUGGAAACGCAGCACAACAAGAUAUGAACCCUGCUGGGAAUCAUGGGCUGAAUGGCCCGGGUGGAGGGCUAGGACAUGUGCCAAAUGCCCCGGUUGUAGUGCUAGAUGACGUGCUAGAUGUGCUGGAUGGAGACGCAGCAGAACAAGAUAUGAACCCUGGUGGGAAUGGAGUGGCAGGACAAGUGUCAGGUGUUCCGGAUGAAGUGCCAGGUGUGCCGGAUGGAGGCGCAGCACAACAAGAUAUGUGAGUUUUCCUAUUUAUGUCGGCAUUUUCAGCUACCAUCUAUCGACUUUUAGGAUGCUUAACCGAGCUGUUAUGCUACCUAGAAUGGCUGACCUUAUCAUGGUUGCGACAAACCAAAUUAUGCUGAAAUCGGAGCACUUCAGAUGUUGCGUAGUAUUUGACAUUCUGUAUUAUUUUGAGUAGCAAUGGCCAUUGUUAUUUCCCAUUCCGAUAUCAUUUUUGUUGCCUUUCCCCUGUUGGUUAGUCUAGUAGUAGUAGAUCUGAACCAUGUGAGCUCUUUUGCCGGGACGAGAUCGCUGCCGCUCUUCCAGAUGUCGACUGUUUCUGCAAGGAGGCCUGACCUGACCAGCCAGUGGCGCAAGUAUAAGUGGAUUGGAACGGCGUUCCUCAUUCAAAUGUUGUCGAUUCCCAUUCGAUACAUAUACACUCCAGACAUAGAUUGUUGAUUAGAUGAGU